ensembl:misc_RNA
UUGUUGGGCUAUUUAGAGGGCUGUUCUAGUAAUAUCUUCAUUUUAGCAUUGUUAAACC